CAGUGUGCGCAGGCGUACUUGGUGUGGAGUGGUGCGAACUAGACGGAGAAAGCGCCCGAAGAAAAGGAGGAAGAGCAAGAAGAUGGGGAGUUGGAAGGGGGGGGAAAUGGGCAAAGAAAGAAAAGGGAUUGAGAGAAAGUCGUGUACCUGUUUCUGUUUUUCUCGGCAGGAAGGAGUUACAGGCGCCUCAGGCUGUUCACUGUAGCUGUUCAAUUUGACAAAGCUUUGCCGGAUGUGGCCUUGGCAAACCAGUGGAGGAGCAAACCAGCUGUGAGCCGGAAGCGCAGCUCGGAGCAGGAAUACAGAGCAAAACCCAAGACAAAACAAGGGGCAAAAAUUAGCUAAACCCCCAGACUGAAGAUUGGUAAUUCAGAAUGAACAAAACCGUUUGUAAUCUGGCUUUCAGUUUUUUAUAUUCAUUAUCUUAGUAAUGUGGCAAACAUUUAAGUACGAAGUCCACUGCUUUCAAUGGUGUGGUAGAGACACAGACAUUAUAAAACUUUGUCUCAAAAGCCAGAUCAAUCAAAUUUUGACAAGUAUUGUUCUGAAGACUGGAGAAUGCACAACUUUUGGCAUAUAGCAGCUCCAUCACAACCUCUACACUAAGAGACUUGACAAAACUAGUAUGGCUUCUGGCAGUUUAAGGCCUUGUCCCUAGAAUAACCAGAGACCCGGUUAAAAUGCUUUGGUGGAAAAGCUAACAAUGCAGGAGAAUUGACUGUUCCAGGCAAAGCCUCGUGAUAGGGAGAUAGUACCUACAUCCCUCUCUUAGAGCAGUUUCUUUCAAAAGUUUGCAAUUAUAAAUCCUUUCUCUGCCCUUUGUGCUAAAAAUCUAUCCAGAACGAUCCUCGAAGACCUGAGAGCCCCUCACUUUGAAAUGCAAUCAUUCAGGGAGAUAACUCCAUUCUAUCUCCCAGUCCUUGUGGGCCUCACUUGAAUGGACAUCUUUCUUUAAGUUGGACUGCUGCCUCUUGUCAUAAAGAUAGAAGUUUCUUCUCUGACAGGGACCAGUUAACAAACCCAGAUGGCCUACCCACGUGAAGCACCAACUCACCCCCUUGACACCCCUCAGUGCCUUUCCCUUAGCACACUAAAGGCUUUAAAAAGUCUCCAGCCUUCUGUUUCAGGGAGGUUGAGUUCAUUCACACAACAGUAUUACUGAAUAAAAUGUGUCCUUACCACUUUACCUA